GCUGGAUGCUGACGAGCGGCGGACGGGUGAGUAAUGCAUAGGAAUCUGCCCGAUAGUGGGGGAUAACCUGGGGAAACCCAGGCUAAUACCGCAUACGUCCUACGGGAGAAAGGGGGCUCCGGCUCCCGCUAUGGGAUGAGCCUAUGUCGGAUUAGCUAGUUGGUGAGGUAACGGCUCACCAAGGCCACGAUCCGUAGCUGGUCUGAGAGGAUGAUCAGCCACAUCGGGACUGAGACACGGCCCGAACUCCUACGGGAGGCAGCAGUGGGGAAUAUUGGACAAUGGGCGCAAGCCUGAUCCAGCCAUGCCGCGUGUGUGAAGAAGGCCCUCGGGUUGUAAAGCACUUUCAGCGAGGAAGAACGCCUAGCGGUUAAUACCCGCUAGGAAAGACAUCACUCGCAGAAGAAGCACCGGCUAACUCCGUGCCAGCAGCCGCGGUAAUACGGAGGGUGCAAGCGUUAAUCGGAAUUACUGGGCGUAAAGCGCGCGUAGGUGGCUUGAUAAGCCGGUUGUGAAAGCCCCGGGCUCAACCUGGGAACGGCAUCCGGAACUGUCAAGCUAGAGUGCAGGAGAGGAAGGUAGAAUUCCCGGUGUAGCGGUGAAAUGCGUAGAGAUCGGGAGGAAUACCAGUGGCGAAGGCGGCCUUCUGGACUGACACUGACACUGAGGUGCGAAAGCGUGGGUAGCAAACAGGAUUAGAUACCCUGGUAGUCCACGCCGUAAACGAUGUCGACCAGCCGUUGGGUGCCUAGCGCACUUUGUGG
rnacentral:rRNA from 1 species